AGAGUUUGAUCAUGGCUCAGAUUGAACGCUGGCGGCAGGCCUAACACAUGCAAGUCGAACGGUAACAGGAAGAAGCUUGCUUCUUUGCUGACGAGUGGCGGACGGGUGAGUAAUGUCUGGGAAACUGCCUGAUGAGGGGGAUAACUACUGGAAACGGUAGCUAAUACCGCAUAACGUCGCAAGACCAAAGAGGGGGACCUUCGGGCCUCUUGCCAUCGGAUGUGCCCAGAUGGGAUUAGCUUGUUGGUGGGGUAACGGCUCACCAAGGCGACGAUCCCUAGCUGGUCUGAGAGGAUGACCAGCCACACUGGAACUGAGACACGGUCCAGACUCCUACGGGAGGCAGCAGUGGGGAAUAUUGCACAAUGGGCGCAAGCCUGAUGCAGCCAUGCCGCGUGUAUGAAGAAGGCCUUCGGGUUGUAAAGUACUUUCAGCGGGGAGGAAGGGAGUAAAGUUAAUACCUUUACUCAUUGACGUUACCCGCAGAAGAAGCACCGGCUAACUCCGUGCCAGCAGCCGCGGUAAUACGGAGGGUGCAAGCGUUAAUCGGAAUUACUGGGCGUAAAGCGCACGCAGGCGGUUUGUUAAGUCAGAUGUGAAAUCCCCGGGCUCAACCUGGGAACUGCAUCUGAUACUGGCAAGCUUGAGUCUCGUAGAGGGGGGUAGAAUUCCAGGUGUAGCGGUGAAAUGCGUAGAGAUCUGGAGGAAUACCGGUGGCGAAGGCGGCCCCCUGGACGAAGACUGACGCUCAGGUGCGAAAGCGUGGGGAGCAAACAGGAUUAGAUACCCUGGUAGUCCACGCCGUAAACGAUGUCGACUUGGAGGUUGUGCCCUUGAGGCGUGGCUUCCGGAGCUAACGCGUUAAGUCGACCGCCUGGGGAGUACGGCCGCAAGGUUAAAACUCAAAUGAAUUGACGGGGGCCCGCACAAGCGGUGGAGCAUGUGGUUUAAUUCGAUGCAACGCGAAGAACCUUACCUGGUCUUGACAUCCACGGAAGUUUUCAGAGAUGAGAAUGUGCCUUCGGGAACCGUGAGACAGGUGCUGCAUGGCUGUCGUCAGCUCGUGUUGUGAAAUGUUGGGUUAAGUCCCGCAACGAGCGCAACCCUUAUCCUUUGUUGCCAGCGGUCCGGCCGGGAACUCAAAGGAGACUGCCAGUGAUAAACUGGAGGAAGGUGGGGAUGACGUCAAGUCAUCAUGGCCCUUACGACCAGGGCUACACACGUGCUACAAUGGCGCAUACAAAGAGAAGCGACCUCGCGAGAGCAAGCGGACCUCAUAAAGUGCGUCGUAGUCCGGAUUGGAGUCUGCAACUCGACUCCAUGAAGUCGGAAUCGCUAGUAAUCGUGGAUCAGAAUGCCACGGUGAAUACGUUCCCGGGCCUUGUACACACCGCCCGUCACACCAUGGGAGUGGGUUGCAAAAGAAGUAGGUAGCUUAACCUUCGGGAGGGCGCUUACCACUUUGUGAUUCAUGACUGGGGUGAAGUCGUAACAAGGUAACCGUAGGGGAACCUGCGGUUGGAUCACCU
rnacentral:rRNA from 1 species